rnacentral:rRNA from 1 species
AGGGCACCACCAGGAGUGGAGCCUGCGGCUUAAUUUGACUCAACACGGGAAAACUCACCCGGCCCGGACACUGGAAGGAUUGACAGAUUGAGAGCUCUUUCUUGAUUCGGUGGGUGGUGGUGCAUGGCCGUUCUUAGUUGGUGGAGCGAUUUGUCUGGUUAAUUCCGAUAACGAACGAGACUCUAGCCUACUAAAUAGAUCGUUGGCUUACAGACCCUUAUGAGACUUCUUAGAGGGACAAGCGGCGAUUCAUCCGCCACAAACAGAGCAAUAACAGGUCUGUGAUGCCGUUAUAUGACGGGGGACGCUGCCGCGCUACACUGAAGUGAUCAUCGUGAUGUCUCUUCCUACUCUGCCAAAAGUGGGAAACCCUGUGAAUCUUCUUCUGGAUGGGAAUAGAACAUGGUAAUUAUUCUCCUUGAACAAGAAAUUCCCAGUAAGCCCGAGUCAUAAGCUCGCGUUGAUUACGUCCCUGCCCUUUGUACACACCGCCCGUCGCUACUACCGAUUGAAUGUUUU